UACGGAGGAUCCAAGCGUUAUCCGGGAUUUAUUGGGUUUAAAGGGUGCGUAGGCGGUUUAUUAAGUCAGGGGUGAAAGACGGCAGCUUAACUGUCGCAGUGGCCUUUGAUACUGAUGAACUUGAAUGUACUAGAAGUAGGGCGGAAUGUGACAAGUAGCGGUGAAAUGCAUAGAUAUGUCACAGAACACCGAUUGCGAAGGCAGCUUACUAUGGUAUGAUUGACGCUGGAGGCACGAAA
rnacentral:rRNA from 1 species